rnacentral:rRNA from 1 species
GGGACGAUGUCGGGAUAUUGGGCGUAAGAGCUCGUAGGCGGUUUGUUGCGUCGGCUGUGAAAUCCCGAGGCUCAACCUCGGGUCUGCAGUCGGUACGGGCAGACUAGAGUGAUGUAGGGGAGACUGGAAUUCCUGGUGUAGCGGUGAAAUGCGCAGAUAUCAGGAGGAACACCGAUGGCGAAGGCAGGUCUCUGGGCAUUAACUGACGCUGAGGAGCGAAAGCAUGGGGAGCGAACAGGAUUAGAUACCCUGGUAGUCCAUGCCGUAAACGUUGGGCACUAGGUGUGGGGGACAUUCCACGUUUUCCGCGCCGUAGCUAACGCAUUAAGUGCCCCGCCUGGGGAGUACGGCCGCAAGGCUAAAACUCAAAGGAAUUGACGGGGGCCCGCACAAGCGGCGGAGCAUGCGGAUUAAUUCGAUGCAACGCGAAGAACCUUACCAAGGCUUGACAUGGGCCGGACCGGGCUGGAAACAGUCCUUCCCCUUUGGGGCCGGUUCACAGGAGGUGCAUGGUUGUCGUCAGCUCGUGUCGUGAGAUGUUGGGUUAAGUCCCGCAACGAGCGCAACCCUCGUUCCAUGUUGCCAGCGCGUAAUGGCGGGGACUCAUGGGAGACUGCCGGGGUCAACUCGGAGGAAGGUGGGGACGACGUCAAAUCAUCAUGCCCCUUAUGUCUUGGGCUUCACGCAUGCUACAAUGGCCGGUACAAAGGGCUGCGAUGUCGUAAGGCGGAGCGAAUCCCAAAAAGCCGGUCUCAGUUCGGAUUGAGGCCUGCAACUCGACCUCAUGAAGUCGGAGUCGCUAGUAAUCGCAGAUCAGCAACGCUGCGGUGAAUACGUUCCCGGGCCUUGUACACACCGCCCGUCAAGUCAUGAAAGUCGGUAACACCCGAAGCCGGUGGCCUAACCCUUGUGGAGGGAGCCGUCGAAAGUGGGAUCGGUGAUUAGGACUAAGUCGUAACAAGGUAAC